rnacentral:rRNA from 1 species
GACGAACGCUGGCGGCGUGCUUAACACAUGCAAGUCGAACGGUGAUCUUGGGAGCUUGCUCUUGGGUGAUCAGUGGCGAACAGGUGAGUAACACGUGAGUAACCUGCCCCUGACUCUGGAAUAACUUCGGGAAACCGAAGCUAAUACCGGAUACGACACAGAGCUGCAUGGCUACUGUGUGGAAAGUUUUUCGGUUGGGGAUGGACUCGCGGCCUAUGAGCGUGUUGGUGAGGUAAUGGCUCACCAAGGCGACGACGAGUAGCCGGCCUGAUGGGGCGAUCGGCCACACUGGGACUGAGCCACGGCCAAGGCUCCUGCGGGAGGCAGCUGUGGGGAAUAUUGCACAAUGGGAGAAAGCCUGAUGCAGCGACGCCGCGUGAGGGAUGAAGGCGUUCGGGUUGUAAACCUCUUUCAGUAGGGAAGAAGCGCAAGUGACGGUACCUACAGAAGAAGCACCGGAUAACUACGUGCCAGCCGCCGCAGUAAUAC